GACGAACCGUGCGAACGUUGUUCGGAUUCACUGGGCUUAAAGGGCGCGUAGGCGGCAGGUAAAGUCCGGGGUGAAAUCUUUCAGCUUAACUGGAAAAGUGCCCCGGAUACUGACUUGCUCGAGGGAGGCAGGGGCCGAGGGAACUUCCGGUGGAGCGGUGAAAUGCGUAGAGAUCGGAAGGAACGCCGGUGGCGAAAGCGCUCGGCUGGACCUCUUCUGACGCUGAGGCGCGAAAGCUAGGGGAG
rnacentral:rRNA from 1 species